rnacentral:rRNA from 1 species
AUACGGAGGGUGCAAGCGUUAAUCGGAAUUACUGGGCGUAAAGCGUGCGUAGGCGGCUCGUUAAGUCAGAUGUGAAAGCCCCGGGCUCAACCUGGGAACUGCAUUUGAAACUGGCGAGCUAGAGUAUGGUAGAGGGGGGUAGAAUUUCUGGUGUAGCGGUGAAAUGCGUAGAUAUCAGAAGGAAUACCAGUGGCGAAGGCGGCCCCCUGGCCCAAUACUGACGCUGAGGUACGAAAGCGUGGGUAGCGAACGGGAUUAGAUACCCCAGUAGUCC